GAUGAACGCUAGCGGGAGGCCUAACACAUGCAAGCCGAGCGGUAUUGUUUCUUCGGAAAUGAGAGAGCGGCGUACGGGUGCGUAACACGUGUGCAACCUGCCUUUAUCUGGGGGAUAGCCUUUCGAAAGGAAGAUUAAUACUCCAUAAUAUAUUGAACGGCAUCGUUUAAUAUUGAAAGCUCCGGCGGAUAGAGAUGGGCACGCGCAAGAUUAGCUAGUUGGUGAGGUAACGGCUCACCAAGGCGAUGAUCUUUAGGGGGCCUGAGAGGGUGAUCCCCCAAACUGGUACUGGGACACGGACCAGACUCCCACGGGGGGAAGCAGUGAGGAAUAUUGGUCAAUGGGUGCAAGCCUAAACCAGCCAUCCCGCGUGAAGGACGACUGCCCUAUGGGUUUUAAACUUUUUUUUUAAAGGGAAAAACCCACCCCCGGGAGGGUAGCUGAAGGUACUAAACGAAUAAGCACCGGCAAACCCCGU
rnacentral:rRNA from 1 species